CGGGAAGAUUAGAUGUCCGCUGUCCCUGAAAAGGGGCAGAGGAAAGUCCGGACACCACAGGGCGGGAUACUUCCUAACGGGAAGCUGCAGCAAUGCAGAGCCAGCUCCACAGAAACAAACCGCCGGGCGCCCUCCUUUUUACGGUGCCGUUGAGAGACCGCAGCGUUUUUCGCGCCCUGGCAAGGGUGAAAUGGUGGUGUAAGAGACCACCGGGGACCUUGGUGACAGGGUCUGCCAGGAAAGCCUUAUCCGGUGCAAUGCCAAAUAGGGAAGCUCAGCGCGGCCCGCGCCAUUAUGCUUUCGGGUAGGCAGCUUGAGCCAGGGCGUGAGUCUUGGCCUUAGAUGGAUGGACAUCGGUCUUGAAAAAGACUACAGAAUCCGGCUUAUAGAUGGUCCUGAGAU
rnacentral:RNase_P_RNA from 1 species